UUGCGUAUUUUCCGUGUUUUCUACGUUAAAAGUGUAUAACGAGUACGAAUUUUUGUCAAGAAUGUCGAUCAAAGUGACGGGCGAUUGUCGGAAUGUAUUGUUGUUGCCACGGGUGUUCGUGAUUUAUGAGUGACGAUGCUAUGUCGAUCGUUUGGCGGGAGGAUUGUAGAUUUAAACAGGUCUAAAUUUGACAAUGGCUGUGUGAUUGUCGUUUGUCGCUCGUUAUCGAGCGUUGCUCACUCCGAGUACGUAUAAUGGCUACAACACCAUGAAUGUAUUGCAACAAGAAGUGUUUAAUUUAUAUCAUGUCACGGUAAGACAAAUUUGUGACUUUCGUGUAUAGUACGGAUUGACUUUUGUUUGGUAGUCUGUAUAAUUAACAAUAAGUACAGUUUCUCCAAAUUCAUCAAUUAUCCAAUGGAGCUGAUUCGAAGGAGAAGCUGAAGCAGGAGCAGAUCCAAGAGCAGCUGAUCCAAGUAGAAUCUGCAGCAAGUGAAAUAAAUCGCAAUAUCCAAUCUAGUACAGGGUUAGCAAUGUAAUUAGCUAGGAUACAAUAAUUGAAUCCAGAUAUCGUAGAAAAAUGGAAAGCUUCGCAAAGAUGAGAGGAUUGAAAGACAAGGAAGGAGAUAAUCAGGAAGGUGAUUGUGAUGAAGAAAACUGCGGCCGCGAUCGGGAAGGUGUCCUUCGUCUUCAUCUUCGUCUUCCUCGCCGUUGCCGGUAUCGUCGUUUUUCUUCAAGUGGGAGCAUCAACUUGCAAAAGCCGCUCGGAGCAUUGUGGCGCAGCGUUUUUAAUAGGGUGCAGCUGAAGGCGUACUUAGCUAGGGUACAACGACCGGUCAGCAUGAGCAGGAAAGAGUUUUAGCGACAAGCGCGACGCGAAGCUAAGAACGCAUGCCUAAAUUAGCCUGGGAAGCGGAUAAUUUGCUGGUAAGCGGCUAACGGGUCACUCUCCAGGGGAUAAUAGAUCACCGACUGGUGUCCCAAAGACUGAUCAGAAAACUGGUCGACUCUCAUGGCAGCGCGGAAACUCGCAGCCCUCUUCGCCGCGGUCCUGCAACUUUGCUUAUGCCAAAACAAAAGCCCGGAAGUUUUGCCCGAGUUCUUAGCUCCUUUGGAAAAUCACACGGUGAUCCAAGGUCGCGACGUCUUCUUCACCUGCGUCGUUAAUCAUUUAUCGACGUACAAGGUAGCCUGGAUAAAGUCGGAUUCCCGAGCAAUUUUGGCGAUACAUACGCACAUGGUAGCGCACAAUAAUCGAUUAUCCGUCACGCACAACGGACACAACACGUGGAAACUACACGUGUCGAAUGUCCAGAAGAACGAUUCCGGUACUUACAUGUGUCAAGUCAAUACCGACCCAAUGCGCAGUCAGAUGGGAUACAUGGAAGUAGUGAUACCGCCCGACAUAAUGGAUGACGAGUCCGCAGAUGGUAUGGUCACCCACGAGGGAGGCAAUAUAAGGCUGCGAUGCGUCGCUACCGGUUCGCCGAAGCCUACUGUCACUUGGAAACGAGAAGACGGCCGCAAUAUCAUUCUCAGAGAAGAUGGACAGAAACAAUCUCUGAAAACCUUCGUCGGCGAGACACUGGAAUUGACGGGGGUGAUGCGGCAAGAGAUGGGCACGUAUCUCUGCAUAGCCAGCAACAACGUGCCGCCGACGGUUAGCAAGCGUUACUCCGUCAAUGUUCACUUUCAACCUCUUAUUAAGGUGACGAGUCAAUUGGUGGCUGCGCCGAUUAAUAGAGACGUCGUCCUACAAUGUUACGUCGAAGCGUCACCGCACGCCAUGAAUACAUGGUACAGAGAGUCAGGCGAGAAACUGCUGCCCAGUGACAAAUACGCGAUGUCGGAGUAUGCACUGAAUGAUUACUCCCGGCAAAUGAAUCUCACUGUCAAUUCCCUGGAAAAACGAGACUUCGGCGGAUACGUGUGCUCGUCCGUCAACGCGCUCGGCAAGGCCGAAGGUGUAGUGAGAUUGCAAGAACUGCACUUAUUCGCAAAGACAACUCCGACGACGCUCACGAAGAACACACGAAAGAAACCUCCGACAUCGAAGAACAGGAAAAAGAACAGUAACAACAACGGCAAGCGAUAUGGGAUUGAUGAUGCCGAUUCUGGCAGCGAUGACGAUCUUGGUACGACGCAGAUCAUGGCUGGUAGUACCCUCCAGGAGGGCCACAGAACGGACAUACCAUUUGUCGUGCCUUCCAUACCGCCGCCCUGGGUCGUCUUGAACACUGCGAACUUUAGGCACCCUUCGGUGUCUGCGAUUCUGCUUCUGCUUCUUUUGCCGACUACCCUGUAAGAUGACAAAGAGCUUUAUGAAAAAACGGUGGCUACGAGAGAAACGAGCAUUAUGAAGAUCCACGAGGCAUAGUCCGGAAUCUCAAAGAUUGAUAGAUUUAAAAAACUUCGAUCUUGCACGAUACAGGUACAAAAAUUUAUUUUACACGAAUCAACAUUCAAGAUAAAAAACUGUAAUUAUUAUUUAAAAGCGUUUUUCUUUCUUCUACAAACAUUUUUAUCGGUCAAGACUUGUCCAUGAUUUUUGAGUUACAAAUAAAGUAGAACUCUUUAUAUACUAUUAUACAUUUAUAUCAGAUAUUAUAUUAUCUGUGUCUAUAAAUAUAUUUAUAUUAGAUUGUCUAAUUUUUAAACGGUUUGAUGACAAUAUCUUUUUUCCUGGAUCAAAGUCAGUUUUAAGGCAUUUAAUGCUAUAUUGCUGCGCAUUGUAAGAAACGAUUAUCUCUACCGUUAAUCUCGGACAAAAUUUGCCUUCAAAGCUUGUCAGAAUAUAUUUAAAAGGAGUAAUCGUUAUAAAGGAAUCCUGAAUAUUACAGACUCUUCUAUUUUAAUCAUUAUUUGAUGUACUUUACGUUUUUUUGCGAUGUCAAAAUGCUUUCUCGGAUUACGAGCUCCGUUCUAAGUAUUGAUCGUGAAAUCCAAUACCUUUGAAGAGUAGAAAACCAAUCUCUUUAAGAUAGAAUAGCCUGAUUCCUAUGGAAUCUGACAUCGACUGACCGAUAAUUACCUUCAUUACCUCCUAUUAUUUGCAUAAAUUUCUUGCUUAUUUUUAUUUUUUAAUGACAAUUUUGAAGUAAACACUAAAUGUAUCGUUGUAUCAUCUCGGUAAUCUAAUAUCUUUGUAAAACUUACAAAAACUUUUAUCAUGGAUUGCUAAACAUUAAAAUUGUUUCUGAUAUCGCAAAAAUGCAAAAUUAAAAUAUAUAAAAAAAUAAUAAAUAAAAAUAGAAUAUAUAAAGCAUUAUUUUUAAUAAAAGCAGGCAAUUUCAAUCAUCAAUCAAUAUUGUAUUUGAUUUUUUGUUUAUAGCCCAGAAAAUUAACAUUUUAUGAUAUCUUCAUUCACCAUUUGCGUGUUUGAAGCUAUUAUAAAUUCAGGAUAGAGAUUAAUGAAUGAACUUAGAAAAGCAAACAAUAGGGUCAGUUAGGGACCCCUUGUGGAUCUUCAUUAUUCGCCUAAAAGUAACGCAAAGGGACGCGCCAUGCGUACGCGACAAUCCUAUCUAGGCAGGUCAGUCCCUCUGGCGAUGAUUGUAAAUAUGAAUGAAGGAUGAGUAAAUUCGCGGACAGGAUGUAUAAAAGAGAAAACGGCACUGUUCCCAAGACAGUUAGUUAGACAUGCACGGUUUAAAUGACAACGCUCCUAAAAAUGUUUUUGCAGCACUGUUUGAAGAUUCGAGGCUCGUGAUGGGAACAGAGUCGAGAGAAUGAGGCGGAGUGUGCAAAUUCACUCAGAAAAAAAAGGAAAUAGGUCUUCCCCUUAUUCGAUAUAACAAGGACGUACUUUUAGAUGCGAUCAGAUGCAAUCACUGCGGCGCGACCAAAAAGACGAUGGCGAAAUCUUCGACGUAGUCUCUGUAAAUAUACGCGACACAGUGUCAAUGCGAUAUUUGAUCGAUACGCGAGUGAAAGAAAUGCCUUCUUUCUCUCUCGUUUAAAUCGGCGAUUAAUCGGACUGUAGAUAAAAUACAGGUCAAACAAGUUCGUGCAUCGCGUACUUCGAUCGACAUGGCGAACACAGAUAAAAAAAUGAUGUAACAUCAAAGUACAAGAUGAGUUCUCUGUGCCGACAUCCAUAUGUUAUAGAAUUUUAUAUAGAUAAUCGUGAUUAUUAAAUUUCACUGUUCAACAGACACUGUAAAAAGCUAAAUUACACGAGAGAGAGAAGUAAACAAAUCAAUAGACGGAUAAAGAAAUAAUGUAUCUUGUUUAAUCGUUCAUUACGUUAUUAUUUAUUUACAUCGUUUAUUCCAAACAUUAUUUACGAUGAUCAAAUUAAUUGCUUUCAUUACUCAAUUAUUUUAUAUUGUUAUUAAUUAUUUUAUGAGAGUACUCCAUUGAAAUCAUUAAAACACGAGGCUCACGCAAUGCACGAACUUUCUGAUUUGACGUUAAGAGUUCUUGCAAAUCAAUGUUCGUAUUUUUACCGCUUAGAAUUGAAAUAUAUGGAUUGUAAUUGUUCAAUA